CAGGGUGGCCAGGCCGGCGGCGGCCCAGAGGAGCGCGCAGAGGCAGCGCACGGAGCGGGGGCGCCGCAGGGCGAGGCCAGAGAGCGGGAGCGGGCCACGCUGAGGGCGGUGAGGAAGAAGGCGCCGGCGCCCAUGUCGAGCACGGUGGCGGAGAGCACCAGGCUGCAGAGCGGGCCCCCGCAGGGCCAGCCGAAGUCCAGCGCCGAGUCGGCGGCCCAGAAGGGCAGGGGCAGCGCGAACUGCAGAGCUUGCCUGGUGAUGAAUGUCAGCAACGAAGGAGGGAUGCAGUCAGCAAAAUGAAAUAGGAUAAUCCUGCUAAAUUACAAUAAUUGAAUGUAUUUAAUAAAGAUGUAUCAUUUCCUGCACUCCAAGUGCUGUGCUGAAGCAGAGGUUUAAAUAAAAAAAUACUUAGCAAGGCA